CCUGAUGAGCCGAGCCGGUGCGGAAACGCGGAGUCAGUGGCUGCCCGAGUCCGACGGAUUUCCUGCCACAUUUUGUGAAUGAUCGAAUAUCGCCAUGUCCCCGUUAGAAGCUAUGGUAAAGAAUCGAUAGUGCGAUAAUCGAGCGAUCGCAUUCGAUACGAUAUUCGAUAUUCGUCCUCCUCAGCUGUAGGAUUCAAGAUGGCGGUCAUGCAUGCACUUUCCCUCGUAAUCACGGCCGGUAUCGGUUCCCAAAUUCCGCUUCGCUCAAUUAAUUUUAAUUUAUUGAAUUAUUAGCCGUCAAAACUGUCAUUUUCCUUGCUCAUCUAGAAGUAUUUCAUCAAUUCGAGACGAAGAUUAAACCUCAGGGCCAACGAAAAUCAAGAAGAAGCCAUAGGAAGUGCGGAGAAACCGAAGUUCCGAGUGGAUCUUAACAGAUUUAAAAACAUAUCAAAAUGGCGCCAGAGGCACUGGAUAUCUCUGAGCAUGAGUUGCUCUUCAAAGCAACCAAUUUAUCCAAACUGGCGUCCAUAUAGAUUUGUCUCAGUACCUGCAGGCAUACAUGAGGAAUAUUAGAAACCUCUACAAUAACUCCUCAGCAGUAUAAAAAAUGAAUUUUGCUGAAGCUGCGAUGUUGAUUCAAAACUCAUCGAUUAUCUUUGCCAAGAAUGUCAACUCAAUUUGGGCAAGAGCUGUAAACACACGGCUUGCUUUAUCUGUCAACAUAGACCGAAAAAAAAAUAACGAUGAUAAAGACGAUGAGGAUUGUGAUGUUGGAACUGGCGAUGAAGGUGCUGAUAAUCAAAAAGAAAAAGCUAAGAAGAAGAAAAAGAGAAUGUUUAAUGUUGAAGAAUUUAAACUCCUUCCUUUUCUCAGUACUGGUGAGUGUGAAAUUGUAGAACAUGUAAUCCUUUAACCAAAAUUUAGAAAUACAUCUUGAAACUACCUUGAUUUAAGAUCACUAACAAAGAAAAUUUCUCAAGGUGUAUCA
rnacentral:lncRNA from 1 species